rnacentral:rRNA from 1 species
UACGAAGGGGGCUAGCGUUGUUCGGAAUUACUGGGCGUAAAGCGCGCGCAGGCGGUCUUCCAAGUCAGUGGUGAAAGCCCGGAGCUCAACUCCGGAACUGCCAUUGAAACUGUUGGACUUGAGUAUGAGAGAGGUGAGUGGAAUUCCCAGUGUAGAGGUGAAAUUCGUAGAUAUUGGGAAGAACACCGGUGGCGAAGGCGGCUCACUGGCUCAUUACUGACGCUCAGGCGCGACAGCGUGGGGAGUCAAACAGG